rnacentral:rRNA from 1 species
UGGGGAAUCUUGCACAAUGGGCGACAGCCUGAUGCAGCAAUGCCGCGUGAGGGAAGACGGCCUUCGGGUUGUAAACCUCUUUCAGUUGGGAUGAAGGUUGGACGGUGAAUAGCCGCGCCAACUGACCGUACCUUCAGAAGAAGCCCCGGCUAACUACGUGCCAGCAGCCGCGGUAAUACGUAGGGGGCAAGCGUUGUCCGGAAUCAUUGGGCGUAAAGCGCGUGUAGGCGGUUUCGUAAGUCUGCUGUGAAAGUCGGAGGCUCAACCUUCGAAAGCCGGUGGAUACUGUGAGACUUGAGUACGGAAGAGGAGAGUGGAAUUCCUGGUGUAGCGGUGAAAUGCGCAGAUAUCAGGAGGAACACCAACGGCGAAGGCAGCUCUCUGGGACGUAACUGACGCUGAGACGCGAAAGCGUGGGGAGCAAACAGGAUUAGAUACCCUGGUAGUCCACGCCGUAAACGAUGGUCACUAGAUGUGGGGGGUGUC